UACGUACGUACGUACGUACGUACGUACGUACGUACGUACGUACGUACGUACGUACGUACGUACGUACGUACGUACGUACGUACUACGUACGUAU
rnacentral:miRNA from 1 species